GUGAACAUACCUUACUGUUGCCUCGGCGGAUCAGCCCGCUCCCGGUAAAACGGGACGGCCCGCCAGAGGACCCCUAAACUCUGUUUCUAUAUGUAACUUCUGAGUAAAACCAUAAAUAAAUCAAAACUUUCAACAACGGAUCUCUUGGUUCUGGCAUCGAUGAAGAACGCAGCAAAAUGCGAUAAGUAAUGUGAAUUGCAGAAUUCAGUGAAUCAUCGAAUCUUUGAACGCACAUUGCGCCCGCCAGUAUUCUGGCGGGCAUGCCUGUUCGAGCGUCAUUUCAACCCUCAAGCCCUCGGGUUUGGUGUUGGGGAUCGGCGAGCCUUUCUGGCAAGCCGGCCCCGAAAUCUAGUGGCGGUCUCGCUGCAGCCUCCAUUGCGUAGUAGUAAAACCCUCGCAACUGGAACGCGGCGCGGCCAAGCCGUUAAACCCCCAACUUCUGAAUGUUGACCUCGGAUCAGGUAGGAAUACCCGCUGAACUUAAGCAUAUCAAUAAC
rnacentral:rRNA from 1 species